rnacentral:rRNA from 1 species
UUUAUGGAGAGUUUGAUCCUGGCUCAGGAUGAACGCUGGCGGCGUGCCUAAUACAUGCAAGUCGAGCGAACGGACGAGAAGCUUGCUUCUCUGAUGUUAGCGGCGGACGGGUGAGUAACACGUGGAUAACCUACCUAUAAGACUGGGAUAACUUCGGGAAACCGGAGCUAAUACCGGAUAAUAUUUUGAACCGCAUGGUUCAAAAGUGAAAGACGGUCUUGCUGUCACUUAUAGAUGGAUCCGCGCUGCAUUAGCUAGUUGGUAAGGUAACGGCUUACCAAGGCAACGAUGCAUAGCCGACCUGAGAGGGUGAUCGGCCACACUGGAACUGAGACACGGUCCAGACUCCUACGGGAGGCAGCAGUAGGGAAUCUUCCGCAAUGGGCGAAAGCCUGACGGAGCAACGCCGCGUGAGUGAUGAAGGUCUUCGGAUCGUAAAACUCUGUUAUUAGGGAAGAACAUAUGUGUAAGUAACUGUGCACAUCUUGACGGUACCUAAUCAGAAAGCCACGGCUAACUACGUGCCAGCAGCCGCGGUAAUACGUAGGUGGCAAGCGUUAUCCGGAAUUAUUGGGCGUAAAGCGCGCGUAGGCGGUUUUUUAAGUCUGAUGUGAAAGCCCACGGCUCAACCGUGGAGGGUCAUUGGAAACUGGAAAACUUGAGUGCAGAAGAGGAAAGUGGAAUUCCAUGUGUAGCGGUGAAAUGCGCAGAGAUAUGGAGGAACACCAGUGGCGAAGGCGACUUUCUGGUCUGUAACUGACGCUGAUGUGCGAAAGCGUGGGGAUCAAACAGGAUUAGAUACCCUGGUAGUCCACGCCGUAAACGAUGAGUGCUAAGUGUUAGGGG